rnacentral:rRNA from 1 species
GUAGGGAAUAUUGGGCAAUGGAUGCAAGUCUGACCCAGCCAUCCCGCGUGCCGGAAGAAGGCCCUCAGGGUUGUAAACGGCUUUUGACGGUGAAGAAUCGACAGGAUGCGUCCUGUUUUGACGGUAGCCGUUGAAUAAGCACCGGCUAACUCCGUGCCAGCAGCCGCGGUAAUACGGAGGGUGCGAGCGUUGUCCGGAUUUAUUGGGUUUAAAGGGUGCGUAGGCUGGAAGGUCAGUCAGCGGUGACAAGCUGUCGCUUAACGAUAGUCUUGCCGCAGAUACUUCCUUUCUUGGAUGAGGAGGAGGCCACUGGAACGGAUGGUGUAGCGGUGAAAUGCAUAGAUAUCAUCCAGAACACCGAUUGCGAAGGCAGGUGGCUGUACCUUAAUCGACGCUGAUGCACGAAAGCAUGGGGAGCAAACAGGAUUAGAAACCCGUGUAGUCC